rnacentral:rRNA from 1 species
CAGCAGCCGCGGGAAUACCGAGGGUGCAAGCGUUAAUCGGAAUUACUGGGCGUAAAGGGCGCGUAGGCGGCCAUUCAAGUUAGAUGUGAAAGCCCUGGGCUCAACCUAGGAAUUGCAUUUGAUACUGUUUGGCUUGAGUUCGGGAGAGGUGAGUGGAAUUCCCAGUGUAGAGGUGAAAUUUGUAGAUAUUGGGAAGAACACCAGUGGCGAAGGCGGCUCACUGGACCGACACUGACGCUGAGGCGCGAAAGCGUGGGGAGCAAACAGGAUUAGAUACCCGAGUAGUCCCUGUCUCUUAUAC